GCCUGGGUGGCUCAGUCGGUUAAGCGUCCGACUUCAGCUCAGGUCAUGAUCUCAUGGUCCGUGAGUUCGAGUCCCACGUCAGGCU
rnacentral:tRNA from 1 species